rnacentral:misc_RNA from 1 species
GAACGCAUCUUGCGCCCAGUGGUAUUCCGCUGGGCAUGCCUGUCUGAGUGUCGUUACUUCUCAUGCUUGACACUUUUGUGUUAUGUUAUGGAUGGUGGGUGUCUGUAAGGCAUACGCUUUACACACCUCAAAUGUAAUCCGGUUUACACUUGAUUUUACGGCUUGACCGAAUGUUGUAGAUUGUACACUUCAUUUGGGACGUGAAAAUAAAGAUAAGACCUAAACGGCAUGUAACUUUCAAUUUUGACCUCAGAUCAGGUAGGAUUACCCGCUGAACUUAAG